rnacentral:rRNA from 1 species
UUAGGUUAAGUUAUGAAGGGCGCAUGGUGGAUGCCUUGGUACUAGGAGCCGAUGAAGGACGGGACUAACACCGAUAUGCUUCGGGGAGCUGUACGUAAGCUUUGAUCCGGAGAUUUCCGAAUGGGGAAACCCAAUCAUCUUUACCGAUGAUUACAACUUGAUGAAUACAUAGUCAAGUUGAGGCAGACGUGGGGAACUGAAACAUCUAAGUACCCACAGGAAGAGAAAGAAAAAUCGAUUCCCUAAGUAGCGGCGAGCGAACGGGGAACAGCCCAAACCAGGAAGCUUGCUUUCUGGGGUUGUAGGACUGAACAUUUGAGUUACCAAAGUUGAUGAUAACCGAAGAGUCUGGGAAGGCUCGGCAUAGAGGGUGAUACCCCCGUAGGUGAAAUCGUCAACCCUCAGUUCAGGAUCCUGAGUACGGCCACACACGUGAAACGUGGUCGGAAUCCGGGAGGACCAUCUCCCAAGGCUAAAUACUCCCUAGUGACCGAUAGUGAACCAGUACCGUGAGGGAAAGGUGAAAAGCACCGCGGAAGCGGAGUGAAAUAGUUCCUGAAACCAUGUGCCUACAAUUAGUUAGAGCCCGUUAAUGGGUGAUAGCGUGCCUUUUGUAGAAUGAACCGGCGAGUUACGUUAAUUUGCAAGGUUAAGGUGGAAAGACCGGAGCCGUAGCGAAAGCGAGUCUGAAACGGGCGUUUCAGUAAAUUGAUGUAGACCCGAAACCAGGUGACCUACCCAUGUCCAGGUUGAAGGUGCGGUAAAACGCACUGGAGGACCGAACCCGUGUAUGUUGAAAAAUGCUGGGAUGAGGUGUGGGUAGCGGUGAAAUUCCAAACGAACUUGGAGAUAGCUGGUUCUCUCCGAAAUAGCUUUAGGGUUAGCCUCGGAGUUAAGAAUCGUGGAGGUAGAGCCACUGUUUGGACUAGGGGCCCGUCAUGGGUUACUGAAUUCAGAUAAACUCCGAAUGCCACAGAUUUAUAUCCGGGAGUCAGACGAUGAGUGAUAAGAUCCACCGUCGAAAGGGGAACAGCCCAGACCACCAAUUAAGGUCCCUAAAUACAUGCUGAGUGGAAAAGGAUGUGGAGUUGCAUAGACAGCUAGGAUGUUGGCUCAGAAGCAGCCACCAUUUAAAGAGUGCGUAAUAGCUCACUAGCCGAGUGAUUCUGCGCCGAAAAUUUACCGGGGCUAAGCAUGUUACCGAAAUUGUGGAUUCGACCGUAAGGUCGAGUGAUAGGAGAGCGUUCUAAGGGCAACGAAGCAAGAUCGCAAGGACUUGUGGAGCGCUUAGAAGUGAGAAUGCCGGUAUGAGUAGCGAAAGAUCAGUGAGAAUCUGAUCCACCGAAUGACUAAGGUUUCCUGGGGAAGGCUCGUCCUCCCAGGGUUAGUCGGGACCUAAGCCGAGGCCGCAAGGCGUAGGCGAUGGAUAACAGGUUGAUAUUCCUGUACUAGUUAAUCAUGUUUGAACGAUGGAGGGACGCAGGAGGCUAUGGUGUGCACACGAUUGGAAAUGUGUGUUCAAGCGUCAAGUCUGGUGAUGAGUCAAAUGCUUAUCGCUAAGGACAAGGCGUGACGAGGACCGAAUUUUAGUAGGGAAGCGCCAGAUGUCACACUGCCGAGAAAAGCUUCUAGUUAGUGAUUAAUUACCCGUACCGCAAACCGACACAGGUAGUCGAGGAGAGUAUCCUAAGGUGAGCGAGUGAACUCUCGUUAAGGAACUCGGCAAAAUGACCCCGUAACUUCGGGAGAAGGGGUGCUGCACGCAAGUGCAGCCGCAGUGAAAAGGCCCAGGCGACUGUUUAUCAAAAACACAGGUUUCUGCAAAAUCGAAAGAUGACGUAUAGGGGCUGACGCCUGCCCGGUGCUGGAAGGUUAAGUGGAUGAGUUAGCUUCGGCGAAGCCCAGAAAUGAAGCCCCAGUAAACGGCGGCCGUAACUAUAACGGUCCUAAGGUAGCG